GCCAUAAAGCCCGUAAAGCUGAGAAACAAAAAAAAAAAAAAGGAACGCGAAAAACUUUGAUCUGCGAUAGCGCCUCGAACUUGGCUAGCUGGUCAAGAUUAGGAGCCCAGGAGGUGGCCCACCAUAAAUACCCGGCUAGAGGAAGAGCCGGCGACGCGUGGCAUCGAUAACCGACUGAGCGGAUAAUUAACAGAAGCAGCUUUGUUUCCAGUGAACUCCACGUAAUGUUCUGGAAUCGUUAUCAGCACCCUAAUGGGGGUCAUCGAAAUAUUAGGUGCCAUUUUCGACAAAUGAUUAUCUUGAUCGCUUGAUCGAGUGGAUUUCGUUCUUUUUCGUAUUAAGUUUCUUCUGUUUGGGUUUUGGCCACUUGAGGACCGUCAUAACGUUGCAUAACUCAUCGCCCGAUGGACGAUAGCCGCCGGAGUGAAAAGAAGAACGAGAAAAAAACCGAAUUAUAAAAUGCGACACUCUUUAUGCCCCCAAUUGGCGUAUAAACUCUAUUAAACAAUUUAUGCUCUAAACUGUCUGAAUUGCUUAACUUCUUUAUGGCACUCGCAUUCGCAUUCGGUUUCAGUUUGAGUUUCGGGCCCGCACGCUUAAUAAACUUAUCUAACAGUCA